rnacentral:rRNA from 1 species
GACGAACGCUGGCGGCGUGCUUAACACAUGCAAGUCGAACGGAAAGGCCCUGCUUUUGUGGGGUUCUCGAGUGGCGAACGGGUGAGUAACACGUGAGUAACCUGCCCUUGACUUUGGGAUAACUUCAGGAAACUGGGGCUAAUACCGGAUAGGAUCUCCUGCUGCAUGGUGUGGGUUGGAAAGUUUCGGCGUUUGGGGAUGGACUCGCGGCUUAUCAGCUUGUUUGUGGGGUAGUGGCUUACCAAGGCUUUGACGGGUAGCCGGCCUGAGAGGGUGAACGGCCAAAAUGGGACUGAGAUACGGCACAGACUACUACGGGAGGCAGCAGUGGGGAAUAUUGCAGAAUGGGCGGAAGCGUGAUGCAGAAACGCCGCGUGCGGGAUGAAGGCCUUCGGGUUGUAAACAGAUUUCGAAUGUGACGAAGAGUGAGUGACGGUAAUGGGUAAAGAAGCACCGGCUAACUACGUG